ACGGGGUGCAGCAGGCGCGAAAACUUUGCAAUAAGCGCAAGCUUGACAGGGCUAUCCCGAGUGCCAUCCGCUGAGGAAGGCUUUUACCCAGUCUAGAACGCUGGGGGAAUAAGGAGAGGGCAAGUCUGGUGUCAGCCGCCGCGGUAAUACCAGCUCUCCGAGUGGUGUGGAUGUUUAUUGGGCCUAAAGCAUCCGUAGCUGGCUAAGUUAGUCCCCUGUUAAAUCCACCGGAUUAAUCGUUGGAUCGCGGGGGAUACUGCUUGGCUAGGGGACGAGAGAGGCAGACGGUAUUUUCGGGGUAGGGGUGAAAUCCUAUAAUCCCGGGAAGACCACCAGUGGCGAAGGCUGUCUGCUAGGACGCGCCCGACGGUGAGGGAUGAAAGCUGGGGGAGCGAACCGGAUUAGAUACCCGGGUAGUCCCAGCUGUAAACGAUGCAGACUAGGUGUUUGGUCGGCCACGUGCCGUUCUAGUGCCGCAGGGAAGCUGUUAAGUCUGCCGCCUGGGGAGUACGAUCGCAAGAUUGAAACUUAGAGGAAUUGGCGGGGGAGCAC
rnacentral:rRNA from 1 species